rnacentral:rRNA from 1 species
UGAGGAAUAUUGGUCAAUGGACGAAAGUCUGAACCAGCCAUGCCGCGUGAAGGAUGACGGCCCUACGGGUUGUAAACUUCUUUUGUAUAGGAAGAAACCCCUCUACGUAUAGAGGGUUGACGGUACUAUUCGAAUAAGCACCGGCUAACUCCGUGCCAGCAGCCGCGGUAAUACGGAGGGUGCGAGCGUUAUCCGGAAUUAUUGGGUUUAAAGGGUGCGUAGGCGGAAAUUUAAGUCAGUGGUGAAAGCCUGCAGCUUAACCGUAGAAUUGCCAUUGAUACUGGAUUUCUUGAAUCUAAUAGAAGUAGGCGGAAUAUGACAUGUAGCGGUGAAAUGCUUAGAUAUGUCAUAGAACACCGAUAGCGAAGGCAGCUUACUAUGUUAGUAUUGACGCUAAUGCACGAAAGCGUGGGGAGCGAACAGGAUUAGAUACCCUGGUAGUCCACGCCGUAAACGAUGAUUACUCGCUAUUGGCGAUACACUGUCAGUGGCUAAGCGAAAGUGAUAAGUAAUCCACCUGGGGAGUACGAUCGCAAGGUUG